rnacentral:rRNA from 1 species
GAUGAACGCUAGCGGCAGGCUUAAUACAUGCAAGUCGAGGGGGAUUAGCUGGGUAGCAAUACUCGGUUAUGAGACCGGCAAACGGGUGCGGAACACGUACGCAACCUUCCCAAAACUGGU